rnacentral:lncRNA from 1 species
GUAACCUAAUUUACAAUGGUUCGUUCAUCCUAAAUUAGCUCCAUUUUUCAUUUUUUUUUCUUAGUGGUUUGAAGAAAAGCAACAGCAAUUUGAGAAUCUUGACCAGCAACUUCGGAAACUUCAUGCCAGUGUCGAAGCCUUGGUCUGUCAUAGAAAAGAACUUUCAGCCAACACAGCUGCCUUUGCUAAGAGUGCUGCCAUGCUAGGUAAUUCUGAGGACCAUACUGCUCUCUCUAGAGCUUUGUCUCAGCUCGCAGAGGUUGAGGAGAAGAUAGACCAGUUACAUCAAGAGCAAGCGUUUGCUGACUUUUACAUGUUCUCAGAACUUCUUAGUGACUACAUUCGUCUCAUUGCUGCAGUGAAAGGUGUGUUUGACCAUCGGAUGAAAUGCUGGCAGAAAUGGGAAGAUGCUCAAAUUACUUUGCUCAAAAAACGUGAAACUGAGGCAAAAAUGAUGGUCGCUAACAAACCAGAUAAAAUUCAACAAGCUAAAAAUGAAAUAAGAGAGUGGGAGGCAAAAGUACAACAAGGAGAGAGAGAUUUUGAGCAGAUCUCUAAAACAAUUCGAAAAGAAGUGGGAAGAUUUGAGAACGAGUGAAAGAUUUUAAAGCUGUUAUCAUCAAGUACUUGGAAUCAUUAGUACAAACACAGCAACAGCUGAUAAAGUACUGGGAGGCAUUCCUACCUGAAGCCAAAGCCAUUGCCUAGCGUUAUCCCCGUUAAGGAGACAUUGGAUUCCUCAGUGAGAUCAUCUAAAAAACAUCUAAAUAAACCACUAUAUAUUUUAUGAAUU